GUGCUCACUUCGGCAGCAUGUGUUCUAAAACUGAAACAAUGGAGAGAAGAUUAGCAUGGCCUCUGCACAGGGUGAGAUGUAAAUUCAAGAAGCAUUCCAUACUUUU